GCAUCUAAAUCUUCCCCGCUCAUUGCAAUAUAGUGCUGAGCUGGGGACACGGGAUGCAACAGGAAAGCAGAGGAAAUCCAGACAAGCUCCCUUUCACCACAGUGGGACUAGUCUCUACACCUUUGCAACAAUC